GAGCAUAGCUCAGUUGGUUUAGAGCGUCUGCCUUACAAGCAGAGGGUCGGGGGUUCGACUCCCUCUGCUCCC
rnacentral:tRNA from 1 species